UGACACUACACUAAAUUAUACAUCAAGGGUGAGGGUAGAAUAAAGUGAUGUUCACAUAUGCAAGGACUCAAGAUUAUAUAUCACAUAUAUCAUCACAUAGUUAAUGACUGAAGGAUGAAUGCCAGCAAUAGAAUAAUAGAAGACAUGCUUAAUGAAUGAAGGACUUAACAGGAAAAGAUUAAAGAAAGGAAGUUUAAGAGAAUUCAAUAAUUUCGCACAAGCAGUGGCAAAGUGCUGCUUGAUUGAAAUGUUAUACUUCAAUGAAUAUACAAUAAAGAAUUCUGAGGAAGUGGACAAGAAGGAGGGGAUACUUAACUUUAUGUAUCUAGCCAACCAUGAUUUGUUUUAUUUCCAAUCACUGAGUAUUCACUUCUGCUAGUCACUGCCUGAAGCUCUACGGAAUACAAAGAUGGGUAAGAUAGGGACCAUACUCAGAAAGAAAUCUACAUUCAAACUUUUACUGUGGCAUAGGAUUCACAUGGUAAUUUUAUUUUAUUUUAAUAAAAGUA